rnacentral:rRNA from 1 species
UGAGUAACACGUGAGCAACCUGCCCGACAAACCGGGAUAACAGCGGGAAACUGCUGCUAAUACCGGAUACACCAGGUAUGGCGCAUGCUGUAUCUGGGAAAGGGUUUACCGAUGUCGGAUGGGCUCGCGUCCCAUUAGCUAGUUGGUGAGGUAACGGCUCACCAAGGCGACGAUGGGUAGCUGGUCUGAGAGGACGAUCAGCCACACUGGAACUGAGACACGGUCCAGACUCCUACGGGAGGCAGCAGUGGGGAAUCUUGCACAAUGGGCGAAAGCCUGAUGCAGCGACGCCGCGUGGAGGAUGAAGGCCUUCGGGUUGUAAACUCCUGUCUGGGGGGAUGAACACUGACAGUACCCCCGGAGGAAGCCCCGGCUAACUACGUGCCAGCAGCCGCGGUAAUACGUAGGGGGCGAGCGUUGUCCGGAAUUACUGGGCGUAAAGCGCGCGCAGGCGGCCUAUUAAGUCAGGUGUUAA